UGUCCCAAUUUUACACAGCUGUGGGUUCAUUCCCCAGUAAGAGCACAUACAAGGAUCUACCAAUGAAUGCGUAAGUAAAUGGAAUAACAAAUU